rnacentral:rRNA from 1 species
CUUGGUCAUUUAGAGGAAGUAAAAGUCGUAACAGGGUCUCCGUAGGUGAACCUGCGGAGGGAUCAUUACAAGUGACCCCGGUCUAACCACCGGGAUGUUCAUAACCCUUUGUUGUCCGACUCUGUUGCCUCCGGGGCGACCCUGCCUUCGGGCGGGGGCUCCGGGUGGACACUUCAAACUCUUGCGUAACUUUGCAGUCUGAGUAAACUUAAUUAAUAAAUUAAAACUUUUAACAACGGAUCUCUUGGUUCUGGCAUCGAUGAAGAACGCAGCGAAAUGCGAUAAGUAAUGUGAAUUGCAGAAUUCAGUGAAUCAUCGAAUCUUUGAACGCACAUUGCGCCCCCUGGUAUUCCGGGGGGCAUGCCUGUUCGAGCGUCAUUUCACCACUCAAGCCUCGCUUGGUAUUGGGCAACGCGGUCCGCCGCGUGCCUCAAAUCGACCGGCUGGGUCUUCUGUCCCCUAAGCGUUGUGGAAACUAUUCGCUAAAGGGUGCUCGGGAGGCUACGCCGUAAAACAAACCCAUUUCUAAGGUUGACCUCGGAUCAGGUAGGGAUACCCGCUGAACUUAAGCAUAUCAAUAAGCGGA